rnacentral:rRNA from 1 species
GAUGAACGCUAGCGGCAGGCCUAAUACAUGCAAGUCGAGGGGUAGUGGAAGCUUGCUUCCAUGAGACCGGCGCACGGGUGCGUAACGCGUAUGCAACCUACCUCUAUCUGGGGGAUAGCCCGGAGAAAUCCGGAUUAACACCGCAUAAAUCACAGUACGGCAUCGUACAAUGAUCAAAUAUUUAUAGGAUAGGGAUGGGCAUGCGUGUCAUUAGCUAGUUGGCGGGGUAACGGCCCACCAAGACCACGAUGACUAGGGGAUCUGAGAGGAUGGCCCCCCCACACUGGUACUGAGACACGGACCAGACUCCUACGGGAGGCAGCAGUAAGGAAUAUUGGUCAAUGGAGGCAACUCUGAACCAGCCAUGCCGCGUGCAGG